rnacentral:rRNA from 1 species
GACGAACGCUGGCGGCGUGCUUAACACAUGCAAGUCGAACGGAAAGGCCCUGCUUUUGUGGGGUGCUCGAGUGGCGAACGGGUGAGUAACACGUGAGUAACCUGCCCUUGACUUUGGGAUAACUUCAGGAAACUGGGGCUAAUACCGGAUAGGAGCUCCUGCUGCAUGGUGGGGGUUGGAAAGUUUCGGCGGUUGGGGAUGGACUCGCGGCUUAUCAGCUUGUUGGUGGGGUAGUGGCUUACCAAGGCUUUGACGGGUAGCCGGCCUGAGAGGGUGACCGGCCACAUUGGGACUGAGAUACGGCCCAGACUCCUACGGGAGGCAGCAGUGGGGAAUAUUGCACAAUGGGCGGAAGCCUGAUGCAGCAACGCCGCGUGCGGGAUGACGGCCUUCGGGUUGUAAACCGCUUUCGCCUGUGACGAAGCGUGAGUGACGGUAAUGGGUAAAGAAGCACCGGCUAACUACGUGCCAGCAGCCGCGGUGAUACGUAGGGUGCGAGCGUUGUCCGGAUUUAUUGGGCGUAAAGGGCUCGUAGGUGGUUGAUCGCGUCGGAAGUGUAAUCUUGGGGCUUAACCCUGAGCGUGCUUUCGAUACGGGUUGACUUGAGGAAGGUAGGGGAGAAUGGAAUUCCUGGUGGAGCGGUGGAAUGCGCAGAUAUCAGGAGGAACACCAGUGGCGAAGGCGGUUCUCUGGGCCUUUCCUGACGCUGAGGAGCGAAAGCGUGGGGAGCGAACAGGCUUAGAUACCCUGGUAGUCCACGCUGUAAACGGUGGGUACUAGGUGUGGGGUCCAUUCCACGGGUUCCGUGCCGUAGCUAACGCUUUAAGUACCCCGCCUGGGGAGUACGGCCGCAAGGCUAAAACUCAAAGGAAUUGACGGGGCCCCGCACAAGCGGCGGAGCAUGCGGAUUAAUUCGAUGCAACGCGUAGAACCUUACCUGGGUUUGACAUGGAUCGGGAGUGCUCAGAGAUGGGUGUGCCUCUUUUGGGGUCGGUUCACAGGUGGUGCAUGGCUGUCGUCAGCUCGUGUCGUGAGAUGUUGGGUUAAGUCCCGCAACGAGCGCAACCCUUGUUCACUGUUGCCAGCACGUUAUGGUGGGGACUCAGUGGAGACCGCCGGGGUCAGCUCGGAGGAAGGUGGGGAUGACGUCAAGUCAUCAUGCCCCUUAUGUCCAGGGCUUCACGCAUGCUACAACGGCUGGUACAGAGAGUGGCGAGCCUGUGAGGGUGAGCGAAUCUCGGAAAGCCGGUCUCAGUUCGGAUUGGGGUCUGCAACUCGACCUCAUGAAGUCGGAGUCGCCAGUAAUCGCAGAUCAGCAACGCUGCGGUGAAUACGUUCCCGGG